UGGGGAAUAUUGCACAAUGGGCGCAAGCCUGAUGCAGCCAUGCCGCGUGUGUGAAGAAGGCCUUCGGGUUGUAAAGCACUUUCAGCGAGGAGGAAGGUGGUGAACUUAAUACGUUCAUCAAUUGACGUUACUCGCAGAAGAAGCACCGGCUAACUCCGUGCCAGCAGCCGCGGUAAUACGGAGGGUGCAAGCGUUAAUCGGAAUUACUGGGCGUAAAGCGCACGCAGGCAGUUUGUUAAGUCAGAUGUGAAAUCCCCGGGCUCAACCUGGGAACUGCAUUUGAAACUGGCGAGCUAGAGUCUCGUAGAGGGGGGCUAGAAUUCCAGGUGUAGCGGUGAAAUGCGUAGAGAUCUGGAGGAAUACCGGUGGCGAAGGCGGCCCCCCUGGACGAAGACUGACGCUCAGGUGCGAAAGCGUGGGGCAGCAAACAGGAUUAGAUACCCUGGUAGUCCACGCUGUAAAACGAUGUCGAUUUGGAGGUUGUGCCCCUUGAGGCGUGG
rnacentral:rRNA from 1 species